GACGAACGCUGGCGGCGUGCUUAACACAUGCAAGUCGAACGCUGAAGCUCAGCUUUUGUUGGGUGGAUGAGUGGCGAACGGGUGAGUAACACGUGAGUAACCUGCCUCCUUCUUUGGGAUAACGCCCGGAAACGGGUGCUAAUACUGGAUAUUCACUGGUCUUCGCAUGGGGGUUGGUGGAAAGGGUUUUUCUGGUGGGGGAUGGGCUCGCGGCCUAUCAGCUUGUUGGUGGGGUGAUGGCCUACCAAGGCUUUGACGGGUAGCCGGCCUGAGAGGGUGACCGGUCACAUUGGGACUGAGAUACGGCCCAGACUCCUACGGGAGGCAGCAGUGGGGAAUAUUGCACAAUGGGCGCAAGCCUGAUGCAGCGACGCCGCGUGAGGGAUGGAGGCCUUCGGGUUGUGAACCUCUUUCGCUCAUGGUCAAGCCGCAACAAUGGUUGUGGUGAGGGUAGUGGGUAAGAAGCGCCGGCUAACUACGUG
rnacentral:rRNA from 1 species